rnacentral:rRNA from 1 species
UGGGGAAUAUUGGACAAUGGGCGCAAGCCUGAUCCAGCCAUGCCGCGUGUGUGAAGAAGGCCUUCGGGUUGUAAAGCACUUUUGUCCGGAAAGAAAUCCUGUCGGCUAAUACCCGGCGGGGAUGACGGUACCGGAAGAAUAAGCACCGGCUAACUUCGUGCCAGCAGCCGCGGUAAUACGAAGGGUGCAAGCGUUACUCGGAAUUACUGGGCGUAAAGCGUGCGUAGGUGGUUUGUUAAGUCUGAUGUGAAAGCCCUGGGCUCAAACCUGGGAACUGCAUUGGAUACUGGCUUACUAGAGUGCGGUAGAGGGUGGCGGAAUUCCCGGUGUAGCAGUGAAAAUGCGUAGAUAUCGGGAGGAACAUCCGUGGCGAAGGCGGCCACCUGGACCAGCACUGACACUGAGGCACGAAAAGCGUGGGGGAGCAAAACAGGAUUAGAUACCCUGGUAGUCCACGCCCUAAAACGAUGCGACUGGAUGUUGGGAGCAACUAGGCUCUCAGUAUCGAAAGCUAACGCGUUAAGUUCGCCGCCUGGGAAGUACGGUCGCAAGACUGAAACUC